rnacentral:rRNA from 1 species
CCUACGGGAGGCAGCAGUGGGGGAUAUUGCACAAUGGGGGAAACCCUGAUGCAGCGACGCCGCGUGGGUGAAGAAGCGCCUCGGCGCGUAAAGCCCUGUCAGCAGGGAAGAAAAUGACGGUACCUGAAGCAAAAGCCCCGGCUAACUACGUGCCAGCAUCCGCGGGAAUACGUAGGGGACACGCGUUAUCCGGGUUUACUGGGUGUAAAGGGGGCGCAGACGGCGAUGCAAGCCAGGAGUGAAAGCCCGGGGGCCCACCCCGGGACUGCCCUUGGAACUGCGUGGCUAGAGUGCAGGAGGGGCAGGCGGAAUGCCUGGUGUAGCGGUGAAAUGCGUAGAUAUCAGGAGGAACACCGGUGGCGAAGGCAGCCUGCUGGACUGAAACUGACGUUGAGGCCCGAAAGCGUGGGGAGCAAACAGGAUUAGAUACCCCUGUAGUC